GUGGUGUUUGGAUCGUCCCUGCCGGCUGGCUCCGUGCCCGUCCACCGAACGGUCGGCAGGCGAUCUGCGUCGGUCUCGCUGGGUGGUAUGGUUCCCCAGAGGCCGGUUCUUGUGCUGCCUACCCCUACAGGGGAAGCGGGCCGCUCGAUGAUGUAAGCCUCCAUCCGGCACCCUCCAACGGGCGCAGGAGGACAACGUAGCACCCCCGCGCUCCAUCAAGCCCAUAUCGGUCGCGUGGCGCGCGGGGCCGUGCGAUGCUCUCGGACCCAACGAACGCCGUGGGCGAGGACUCACGUCCCGGUCCCGAUAGAAGCUCCCACAAAAUGCAUGACGGCCGCUCCCGUCCCAUGAC
rnacentral:misc_RNA from 1 species